GGCAGGCUUUGGGGUGUGACUGGCCUCCAGAGGGCGAUGCUGUGCUAGUUGAGCCAGGCUCUUCUGGCAAUGCAGCACAGUAACACGCCCUGGUGCCCACGGCUCUCGCAGGCUCCCAGACUGAAAGGUCUCUUGAAGCAGUGUCAGCCCAGCGGAGCAGUCAGAAAGUAAGGAAACUCACCGAGGGACGGCCUGCUCUGGCAACACACAGGAAGGACUUUCUGUUCCGUCUCCGACUGACCUUCGGUUCUACCCCAAAAGAGAGAGAAACCCCGGUUAUUCUACUGAGCCAUGGCCCUUGUAUCCAUUCUCACCUUUGUGACGACCUUCAUACUGACAACAAUAGAAGCACAGUCAGUGAGUCAGCCUGAUGACCAAGUCUUUGCCUCGGAAGGGUCCCCAGUGGAACUGAGAUGCACGUAUUCCUAUUCUGGGAGCCCUUUUCUCCAGUGGUAUGUCUGGUAUCCCAACCAAGGGCCGCAGUUCCUCCUGAGACACACUUCAGAGGAAAGCAACAAAGGUUUUCGGGCUACUCUCAACAAGACUGAGAGCUCCUACCAUCUGAGGAAGCGCCACGUCCAGGAGGAAGAUUCAGCUACGUACUUCUGUGCUAUCAGUGGCACAGUGGGAGGGCUCGCAAGGGGAGCUGAGCACAAACCUCCUGAGACAGCUCCAGAAAUGUUCCUCAAGGGGAUUUUUUUCUUUUCAGCCGCCCACAAGGGGGAGAUGGAACAUUUUCAGGUUAAUAACCUGAAAUUCUUUUGAGAUCAUUUUAUUCCUAUCCUUUGACUACUUAUUUACUGGGGAAUAAAAAAGGAUCCUUUAACUCAAUAUUAAGAGAAAAACACCUCAAAGUGUCAUAUAGCCCCUGGAAAUGGACAAGAUAACAAAAUAUAGGAAAAUAGGAAUAAUUAAUGGGUAGAAGGAUUGUGGAAAAGCAUUGUUGGUAGAGCUGGGAGUCAAUACAAACAUUUUUAAAAACAAUUUGGAAUUUUUCAAAUAAAAUAACUGAAAUAUCAA